CGGUGUGUCGCAUUUUAAAUUUCCGAGAGGAUUGACAGAUUGAGAGCUCUUUCUUGAUUCUGUAAAUGGCAUGGUGCAUGUCCCUUCUUAGUUGGUGGAGCGAUUUGUCUGCUUAAUUCCGAUAAAGAAAGAGACUCUAGCCUAUUAAAUAGGUACGUGGUGCUCUGCACCUUGCACCCUUCUUAGAACAGGUUUGUGAUGCCCUUAAAUGUCCGGGGCCGCACGUGCGCUAC
rnacentral:ncRNA from 1 species